rnacentral:tRNA from 1 species
UCGGUAGACGCUACGGACUUAUCGUGAGGGUUCAAGUCCCUCUAUCCCCAAGAAAAAGCCCAUUGAAAUU